rnacentral:rRNA from 1 species
GCGGACGGGUGAGUAACACGUGAGCAACCUGGCUCUAAGAGGGGGACAACAGUUGGAAACGACUGCUAAUACCGCAUAACGUAUCGGGAUGGCAUCUUCCUGAUACCAAAGAUUUUAUCGCUUAGAGAUGGGCUCGCGUCUGAUUAGAUAGUUGGCGGGGUAACGGCCCACCAAGUCGACGAUCAGUAGCCGGACUGGGAGGUUGAACGGCCACAUUGGGACUGAGACACGGCCCAGACUCCUACGGGAGGCAGCAUG